AGAAGAACGGGAGGGACACUCGGGCUGCUGAAAUCCUGCUCGUUGAUUGAAGGGUCGCAGAAGGGGCAAACAGGGAGACAACGAAGCAGAAGGGAGGCAGAUUCCGAGAGCCCCGAAGGGCGGGGUGAGGAUUCUUUUACUGCAUAGGGGUAGGAGGGUUUAGCAUUCGAGGGUACAAUCGGGAUGUGAUAAACUGUGGUAACUUGUUUGUUCAUCAAAGGAAUUGGAAUAUUAAAGGAGGAAAAAUAAAAUUAAAGUAUGAGGGACUAGCUUGCUUGUUAGGAGAUAGGGGAAGCAUCUGUGAAGUUGGGAAACAGCAACUUGUGGGUUUUACUAAAAAAAGGACAAUAAAGAAGCAACUGCUACAAACCGCAAGGCUAUAGGCAUAUUGCAAGGCUAUAGACAUAUUGCAAAACGCAAGACCGCAAGUAUGAUUAAUCACCAUUUAGGGAGCUUUUCUUAGCUUCUCUUGCAGACACAGGCUAAGGAUGUUGGGGGAUGGCCGGAGCUGAUUAUGAAAUCAGCGACCACCAGGCAACGGCCACCGGACUAGACAACGUAGGAGUGCUCCGGGUACGCCCAUCACUGUCCGGAACCGAUUGUGAAACCAACGAUCACCUGCCUCGACAUAACGCAGACACGAUGCAGAGGGAUGCUCAAGCUACGCCCACCGCUAUCGCAAGAGACGCGAAUGAAGAAACCUCCAAGAAACUAUAAAAGAGACUGAAUAAGGGGGGUGGGGUGUGGGGCACUGCAGUGUGGGACACUGCAGGAGGGGCGGUUAGGAGACCCCUACCCACCCAGCGCUGUUUUGCUUGCUACUGCUUGCUGUAAUUAAUAAAAUUCCAAUUGACCUUAAAAAGGCUGAAUCAAAUUAUUCGCCUCAAUUUAUCACAAUUUGGUGCCGUGACUCGGAUAAAGGAAACCCGGGACGGAGGCCCCACUAGCGUGAGGCGCCCCACCGUCUUUUUGCGGUGGACCUAAGGGGGGGCUUCCUCCUUGGGCCUUUACCAACGAACCUAAAACUCAGUAGCAAGCAAAGUUACCCCCGUUAAUCUUUGUGCACGAAGAACCGCGGAAGAGUGAACACGCAGGAAGCCUUCUCUUGCAGACACAGGCUAAGGAUGUUGGGGGAUGGCCGGAGCUGAUUAUGAAAUCAGCGACCACCAGGCAACAGCCACCGGACUAGACAACGUAGGAGUGCUCCGGGUACGCCCAUCACUGUCCGGAACCGAUUGUGAAACCAACGAUCACCUGCCUCGACACAACGCAGACACGAUGCAGAGGGAUGCUCAAGCUACGCCCACCGCUAUCGCAAGAGACGCGAAUGAAGAAACCUCCAAGAAACUAUAAAAGAGACUGAAUAAGGGGGGUGGGGUGUGGGGCACUGCAGUGUGGGACACUGCAGGAGGGGCGGUUAGGAGACCCCUACCCACCCAGCGCUGUUUUGCUUGCUACUGCUUGCUGUAAUUAAUAAAAUUCUAAUUGACCUUCAAAAGGCUGAAUCAAAUUAUUCGCCUCAAUUUAUCACAGGGAGAAGGCUAAAGGGAGGGGAAAUAUAACAUUAACCAGUGGGGAAAAGGGAAAGGAGUGUUCUUGGUGGAAGAACCAAAGGGAAAACGUGGAACAGAGAAGAUUCUAGGCUAAGGGGCAGACUUGAACAAUAACUGACAAGACAGGGGGAGGGUACAAUUCUCUUACAAAAGGGGGUGGAGAACUCAUACAACUGCUGUUUCCCAUGGCAACCCUAGACUGCCUUCCCCAACCCCUCCUCCUACACCAGUGACAGCUUUUCACACUGAAGGGCAGUGCUAUUGUAUAACAAACACUUAACUCUUAGCCCAGCCGGGCUCGCUGGCUACUUUUGCAAGCUUUUUACCAACUAGCGAUGCUUGUAAGCGGUGCUUGUAACUCCUAGCUUGUACCACGCUCCCACUAGCUGCGCUAUCAGCUAGCGGCGUUCAAAGCAGCUCCUCAAACCGCGGCUUGUGCCCGCGCGCCCGCUGCGCUAUCAGCUGGGCUGCGCCUAAAGCACCUUUGCAAGCCCCGACUUAAGCCCCGCGCCGCGCUCCCCUCGCUCGCCAGGGACAGCCCGUGCCACGCAUGCGCACCACCCGCUCUAUCAGGUAGAGUGCGCACUACCCGCACUAUCAGGUAGUGUGGCUGAGAGCUGCCCUGCGCAUGCGCCCCACCCGCUCUAUCAGGUAGAGUGGCUGCUAGCCGCCCCGAGCAUGCGCACUACCCGCACUAGCAGGUAGUGUGGGCUGAGAGCUGCCCUGCGCAUGCGCUCUCUAGCACUGCCGCGCCGCGUCUCUCUAUCUUAG